rnacentral:rRNA from 1 species
GAUGAACGCUAGCGAUAGGCUUAACACAUGCAAGUCGAGGGGCAGCACAAGGUAGCUUGCUAUCUGGGUGGCGACCGGCGCACGGGUGCGUAACGCGUAUGUAACUUGCCCUAUACAGGAGGAUAACCCGUCGAAAGACGGACUAAUACUGCGUAUGCUCACAACUUGGCAUCAAGUGGUGAGGAAAGAAAUUCGGUAUAGGAUAGGCAUGCGUCCCAUUAGCUUGUUGGUGAGGUAACGGCUCACCAAGGCAACGAUGGGUAGGGGAACUGAGAGGUUUAUCCCCCACACUGGUACUGAGACACGGACCAGACUCCUACGGGAGGCAGCAGUGAGGAAUAUUGGUCAAUGGGCGCGAGCCUGAACCAGCCAAGUCGCGUGAAGGAUGACUGUCUUAUGGAUUGUAAACUUCUUUUAUACGGGAAUAACAAGAGUCACGUGUGACUCCCUGCAUGUACCGUAUGAAUAAGCAUCGGCUAACUCCGUG